GAUGAACGCUAGCGGCAGGCUUAACACAUGCAAGUCGAGGGGUAUAGUUCUUCGGAACUAGAGACCGGCGCACGGGUGCGUAACGCGUAUGCAAUCUACCUUUUACAGGGGGAUAGCCCAGAGAAAUUUGGAUUAAUACCCCAUAGUAUGUUAGAGUGGCAUCAUUUUAACAUUAAAGUUCCAACGGUAAAAGAUGAGCAUGCGUCCCAUUAGCUAGAUGGUAAGGUAACGGCUUACCAUGGCGACGAUGGGUAGGGGUCCUGAGAGGGAGAUCCCCCACACUGGUACUGAGACACGGACCAGACUCCUACGGGAGGCAGCAGUGAGGAAUAUUGGACAAUGGGCGCAAGCCUGAUCCAGCCAUGCCGCGUGCAGGAAGACGGUCCUAUGGAUUGUAAACUGCCUUUGUACAGGAAGAAACACUCCCUCGUGAGGGAGCUUGACGGUACUGUAAGAAUAAGGAUCGGCUAACUCCGUGCCAGCAGCCGCAGUAAAAC
rnacentral:rRNA from 1 species